GGGAUAUCGCGUUCCAACUUGUCUCGCGUCGGAGCCCUAUAAAUAGCGGACACACCGACCUUGCAGUCAGUGCUCGCUCGGUGAGCAACGUGAAAACAGUGCAACAUUAGAAAGUGUCACUCUCCCAUCUUGAAGCAUACUUGUGCAUUUAAGGAAAGAAGAUAUUGAAAUUUGUUGUGCAAAUUCACUGGUGUUUGAACUUAGAUAACAAUUGCUGGAUUAAUAUUAAGAAUACACUAAGAAUUACUAGAACAUUUAGGAGAAACUUGAAGAUCUCCAGAGCACGGUUGCUGUCGCCCUCACAGCCAAUCCUUCUCAGCAAAGUUCCCCCCGAGAACAUGGCUGACAAAACUCCACCUUACAUUCCGGAGGAUUACCUUCCCCUGGAGGAAGAGACUGCUCUUCGAUCUCAAGUUGUUCGAACCAACUCAUUGUUCUGUCAGUCUCUACUGCGGGAAAUGUCUGAGAAUUCAUUGAUUUUGCUUCCCA